rnacentral:lncRNA from 10 species
GUUCGACGAGGUGCUUUAUAAAUCAUCUCAGGACUUUCAACCCAGGCAUAUCGUCAGUUACCUUCUAACUUUAAGAUGGUGUCUCGCUCUGUUGUCCAGGCUGGAGCGUGAUCUCGGCUCACUGCAACCUCCACCUGCUGGAUUCAAGCGAUUCUCCUGCCUCAGCCUCCCUAGUAGCUGGGAUUACAGUCAUCUUGCAGCUGUGGCACACAAAACACUACAAAUAAAAGAUAGUCCUCCUGAAGUGGCUGGGGCCAGACUUCAUCUUUUCAAAGCUGUCCGUUCUGUCCUAGCCAAUGGAAUGAAACUUCUUGGAAUAACACCUGUAUGUAGGAUGUAAUUUCCA